UACGGAGGUGGCAAGCGUUGUUCGGAAUUACUGGGCGUAAAGGGCGCGUAGGCGGCCCGCUAAGUCGAACGUGAAAUCCCCGAGCUCAACUCGGGAACUGCGUCCGAUACUGGUGGGCUUGAAUCCGGGAGAGGGAUGCGGAAUUCCAGGUGUAGCGGUGAAAUGCGUAGAUAUCUGGAGGAACACCGGUGGCGAAGGCGGCAUCCUGGACCGGCAUUGACGCUGAGGCGCGAAAGCUAGGGGAGCAAACGGG
rnacentral:rRNA from 1 species